GUGACAGAAAUAGAGCAGUAAAACAGUUUGCUUCAGUAAAGUUGUUGAUGCCAUGAUGGGAUAUUGGAUAAAUCAAUGAAGAUGUAUGAAUAAAAUAUGCCUUACUUGAUAACUAAAGGAACUUGCUUUAACAUGAAGAAGCUUAAAACAGAUACCAUCAUGAAGGAGAACCUUCAUGCACAUGAAAUAAGACAAGCUAUACAUUCACAAAGGCUGGCAACAGUGAAAAACUCAACCAGCACAGUGUAUGAGUGAUAAAACUAUCACUACAAGUGUACUGCUAAUCCCCAUCCCCUGUGAACCAUGACCUUUCUGUGGUGGGGGUGGCUAGUGUGCCUAAACAAUACAGAUAGCCAUACCAUAGUUGCAUCCAAAAUGAAGGGGUAUCAGCAGAACGGUCAGAAAAACUUGUGGUUCCUGAAGAGGAGCAACAGUCUCAAUUAUUAACUGAUUUGACCUUGUAACAUUAGCCAACAUGGCCUUGCUAUGUUGGUACUGCAAACAGCUGUAUGUAAGGAAAAACUACAGCUGUUAUUUCCCCCAAGGGCAUGCAGCUUUCCUAUAGCAUGGAGAGAUGCAUCAAACUAUUCUUCAGAAGUGAAUAUCACAACAUAUUCUGCUGUACAUUACUUGUGAUUAAAUGGACUAACUUUAGCAUAAAAUAAUCAGUAAA